UUAUGCUGAUAAGAGCGUAUGGUGGAUGCCUUGGCACUAAGAGCCGAUGAAAGACGUGAUAAGCUGCGAAAAGCUUCGGGGAGGAGCAAAUAUCCUUUGAUCCGGAGAUUUCUGAAUGGGGAAACCUACUUGAGCAAACCUCAAGUAUCCUUAAGCCAAUACAUAACUUAAGGAAGGGAACCCGGUGAACUGAAACAUCUAAGUAGCCGGAGGAAGAGAAAACAACAUGUGAUUCUGUGAGUAGCGGCGAGCGAAAACGGAAGAGCCCAAACCAGCGUGCGUGCAUGCUGGGGUUCGGACCGCGGAAUUGAUUCAACAAGUUUAGCAGAACGGUUUUGGGAAAGCCGGCCAGAGAGGGUGAAAGCCCCGUAAGCGAAAGACGAGUUGACAUGGCGGGAUCCAGAGUACCACGAGACACGUGGAACCUUGUGGGAAGAUGCGGGGACCACCCCGUAAGGCUAAAUACUACUUAGUGACCGAUAGCGCAUAGUACUGUGAAGGAAAGGUGAAAAGGACCCCGGGAGGGGAGUGAAAAAGAACCUGAAACCAUAUGUUUACAAGCUGUGGAAGAGCUUUAUAUGCUCAACCGCGUACUUUUUGUAGAACGGUCCGGCGAGUUACGCUGGCUGGCGAGGUUAAGGACUAAAGGUCCGGAGCCGAAGGGAAACCAAGUCUGAACAGGGCGCAUAGUCAGUCGGAGUAGACCCGAAACCGGGUGAUCUAUCCAUGUCCAGGUUGAAGUUGCCGUAAAAGGCAAUGGAGGACCGAACCCACAUCCGUUGAAAAGGGUGGGGAUGAGGUGUGGAUAGGGGAGAAAUUCCAAUCGAACCCGGAGAUAGCUGGUUCUCCUCGAAAUAGCUUUAGGGCUAGCCUCAUACGAGUCUUGCGGAGGUAGAGCACUGAAUUCCUAAGGGGGCGUCAAAGCUUACUAAGGGAUAUCAAACUCCGAAUGCCGUGUAGAUGAUGUAUGGGAGUCAGACGAUCCGAGAUAAGUUGGGUGGUCAAAAGGGAAAGAGCCCAGACCAACAGCUAAGGCCCCAAAAUGUGUGUUAAGUGGAAAAGGAUGUGGGAUUUCGAAGACAACUAGGAUGUUGGCUCAGAAGCAGCCAUUCAUUCAAAGAGUGCGUAAUAGCUCACUAGUCGAGAGGUCCUGCGCCGAAAAUGUCCGGGGCUAAAACACACUGCCGAAGCUUUGGAAUUGAGAAUUCAAUUGGUAGAGGAGCAUUCUUAAAGGGACGAAGCAGUACCGGAAGGAGCUGUGGACUUUUAAGAAGAGAGAAUGCCGGAAUGAGUAGCGAGAGGAAGGUGGGAAUCCUUCCGGCCGAAUAUCUAAGGUUUCCAGAGUAAAGCUGAUCUGCUCUGGGUAAGUCGGGGCCUAAGGCGAGGUCGAAAGACGUAGUCGAUGGAUAACAGGUUGAAAUUCCUGUACUAUCCUGUAACAGAACUGUGGGGACACAGGCAGAGAGCGUGAGCCGGGAAUGGAAAGACCGGUACAAGCGAGGUAGGAGAAGAGUUGGCAAAUCCGCUCUUUAAUCUGAAGACGUGAUGUGGACUGAAAAUAAGUAGGGAAGCACGUGAGCUGACUGUCAAGAAAAGCCGCUAUUGUUUGCAGGAUACCCGUACCGUAAACCGACACAGGUGGAUGAGGAGAGAAUCCUAAGGCCGACGGGAGAAGCAUUGUUAAGGAACUCGGCAAAAUGACUCCGUAACUUCGGGAGAAGGAGUGCCAGUAAGAUGGCCGCAGAGAAUUGGCCCAAGCAACUGUUUAGCAAAAACACAGGUCUAUGCAAAACCGAAAGGUGAGGUAUAUGGGCUGACGCCUGCCCGGUGCUGGAAGGUUAAGGGGAGAGGUUAGCGCAAGCGAAGCUUUGAACUUAAGCCCCAGUAAACGGCGGCCGUAACUAUAACGGUCCUAAGGUAGCGAAAUUCCUUGUCGGGUAAGUUCCGACCCGCACGAAAGGCGUAAUGAUUUGGGCACUGUCUCAACAAUGCACCCGGUGAAAUUGAAAUACCAGUGAAGAUGC
rnacentral:rRNA from 1 species